rnacentral:lncRNA from 1 species
GAUACCAGUCAUUUCUACCUUCAGAACGGUGGCAGUUCUAACAUUAGUGCAGGCGCUGCUUUUCGGCCCAACGGUGGCUGGACUGGGAGAAGAGGAAGAAGCAACCUGAACUCGAAUUCAGGUGGUGGAAGCAACCUGAACUCAAACUCAGGUGGUGGAAGCAACAUGAACUCGAAUUCAGGUGGUGGAAGAGGAGGGAUUCAGGGUACCAGAAGACAGAGGACAAAUUACAACUGAUAGUGAUGUUGGGACAUGCUUCGAAAUAGGAGCGAUAACUGAUGAGAUAAACAAACUUAAUCCUUUGUCUUCCAUUUUUUUUCUUUGUUUCUCUCGUAUUAUUAAUCCUUUUGUAGCCUGUGGCUAUUGGCACCUUGUCAAACAUCUUCUCUCCGUUUCCCCUGAAUUGUUAUGCCUGGU